GACGGAGGGGGCAAUCGUUAUCCGGAAUUAUUGGGCGUAAAGCGUCCGCAGGUGGCGAUUCAAGUCUGCUGCCAAAGGACGGGGCUUAACCCCGGGAAGGCAGUGGAAACUGAAUAGCUAGAGUGCGGUAGGGGCAGAGGGAAUUCCCGGUGUAGCGGUGAAAUGCGUAGAGAUCGGGAAGAACACCAGUGGCGAAAGCGCUCUGCUGGGCCUGCACUGACACUGAGGGACGAAAGCUAGGGGAGCGAAAGGG
rnacentral:rRNA from 1 species